GUGAACAUGAGGAGGAGACUCCACGUGGAGCUGAAAUACCAGACCCCACCCGCUGUUCUAAAACUUGUCUUGGACAAUUGCCAAUCAAGUGAUGGAAAAAUUGAGGGCUUUACAGUUGAAUUUGUGAACUUAGAGUUCCUUCAUUUAAUAACUGCAGGCUUGAUUUCAUUUUCAAAUCUCCCCUGGCUGCCAUGACAAUAGAGUCUUUGGAGAUCUGGACAUGUUAGAAACUCACACAUCUAAACUUGGAUGGAAAUACACUGAAAGAUAUCAGAACUUUAGAACCUUUGAAAAAGUUGGAACGUCUAAAGAGCCUGGACCUCUUAAACCGUGAGGUUACUAGCCUGAAUGAAGACUGGGAGAGGGUCUUCAAGCUCCUGCCCCAGCUGACCUACCUUGAUCACUAUGACCAAGAGGACCAGGAAGCCCCCAACUCAGAUGCUGAGGGGGAUGAUGUAGAUGAUGAAGAGGAGGAUGAAGAAGGAGGAAACAAGGAAAAUGAGGAGGAUAAGGAUAGUGAAGAGGAAGAGUUUGAUGGCGACGAG
rnacentral:lncRNA from 1 species